AUUGAACGCUGGCGGCAGGCCUAACACAUGCAAGUCGAACGAGUGGCGGACGGGUGAGUAAUGUCUGGGAAACUGCCUGAUGGAGGGGGAUAACUACUGGAAACGGUAGCUAAUACCGCAUACCAUCGGAUGUGCCCAGAUGGGAUUAGCUUGUGGGUGGGGUAACGGCUCACCAAGGCGACGAUCCCUAGCUGGUCUGAGAGGAUGACCAGCCACACGGGAACUGAGACCCGGUCCAGACUACUACGGGAGGCAGCAGUGGGGGAUAUUGCACAAUGGGCGCAAGCCUGAUGCAGCCAUGCCGCGUGUAUGAAGAAGGCCCUAGGGUUGUAAAGUACUUAGAGGCGGGAGGCGUUACCGACAGAAGAAGCACCGGAUAACUCAGUGCCAGAAGCCGCGGUAAUAC
rnacentral:rRNA from 1 species